CGGGUCCUGGUUUGGGUGACCAGCGGAGGAUCAUUACCGAGUUUACAACUCCCAAACCCCUGUGAACAUACCACUUGUUGCCUCGGCGGAUCAGCCCGCUCCCGGUAAAACGGGACGGCCCGCCAGAGGACCCCUAAACUCUGUUUCUAUAUGUAACUUCUGAGUAAAACCAUAAAUAAAUCAAAACUUUCAACAACGGAUCUCUUGGUUCUGGCAUCGAUGAAGAACGCAGCAAAAUGCGAUAAGUAAUGUGAAUUGCAGAAUUCAGUGAAUCAUCGAAUCUUUGAACGCACAUUGCGCCCGCCAGUAUUCUGGCGGGCAUGCCUGUUCGAGCGUCAUUUCAACCCUCAAGCACAGCUUGGUGUUGGGACUCGCGUUAAUUCGCGUUCCUCAAAUUGAUUGGCGGUCACGUCGAGCUUCCAUAGCGUAGUAGUAAAACCCUCGUUACUGGUAAUCGUCGCGGCCACGCCGUUAAACCCCCAACUUCUGAAUGUUGACCUCGGAUCAGGUAGGAAUACCCGCUGAACUUAAGCAUAUCAUAAAGGCGGAGGAAAA
rnacentral:rRNA from 1 species